rnacentral:tRNA from 1 species
GCUGUCGUGGCCGAGUGGUUAUGGCGACGGACAAGAAAUCUGUCGGGAUCUUCCCGCUAAGGUUCGAAUCCUGACGACAUGGCA